rnacentral:rRNA from 1 species
UACAGAGGUCCCAAGCGUUGUUCGGAUUCACUGGGCGUAAAGGGUGCGUAGGUGGUGGGGUAAGUCGGAUGUGAAAGCUCGGAGCUCAACUCCGAAAUGGCAUUGGAAACUACCCUGCUAGAGGAUGGAGGGGGGUGGAAUUCCACGUGUAGCAGUGAAAUGCGUAGAGAUGUGGAGGAACACCGAUGGCGAAGGCAGCCCCCUGGGCUGAGAUUGACGCUCAGGCACGAAAGCGUGGGGAGCAAACAGG